rnacentral:tRNA from 1 species
GAGGGUAUAGCUCAGUGGUAGAGCACAUGCUUAGCGUGCACGAGGUCCUGGGUUUGAUCCCCAGUACUGCCA